GAAGUUUUUGAGGCUGAAGAAGUGGAAGUAUUUGAAAAACCAAAAGCUCCACCUAAAGGGCCUGAGAUAUCUGAGAAAAUCAUCCCUCCAAAAAAACCGCCCACUAAAGUUGUUCCUCGAAAAGAGCCACCAGCUAAAGUACCGGAGGUGCCUAAGAAAAUUGUGGUAGAAGAAAAAGUACGUGUUCCUGAAGAGCCCAGAGUUCCACCAACUAAAGCACCCGAAGUACCCAAGAAAAUUGUCCCAGAAGAAAAAGUUCGUGAAGCUGUUCUGAAAAAGCCUGAAGUUCCACCAGCUAAAGUGCCUGAAGCUCUCCAAGAAAUUGUCCCUGAAAAGAAAACGCUUGUGGUUCCUCUCAGAAAGCCUGAAGUCCUUCCUGAUGAAGUGCCGGAGGCUCUCAGAGAAGUUGUCCCGGAAAAGAAAGUGCAUCCUCCCCAAAGGGCUGAAGUUGUACCUGUCAAAGUGCACGAAGCUCCCAAAGAGAUUAUCCCUGAAAAGAAAGUGUCGGUGGUGCCUCCUAAAAAGCCUGAAGUCCCACCUGUUAAAGUGCCAGAAGCUUCCAAAGAGGUUAUCCGCGAAGAGAAAGUGCCCUUGGCUCCUCCUAAAGAGCCUGAAGUCCCACCUGUUAAAGUACCAGAGCCUCCCAAAGAAGUAGUUCCUGAAAAGAAAGCGCCAGUGGCUCCUCCUAAAGAGCCUGAAGUCCCACCUGUUAAAGUGCCUGAGGCUCCCAAAGAAGUUGUUCCUGAAAAGAAAGUGCCAGUGCCUCCUCCUAAAAAGCCUGAAGUGCCACCCACAAAAGUCCCAGAGGUGCCAAAGGCAGCUGUCCCAGAAAAGAAGUUGCCUGAAGCUAUUCCUCCCAAACCGGAAAGUCCUCCCCCUGAAGUGCCUGAAGUGCUGCCACCGAAGGAAGUGGUCCCAGAAAAGAAAGUACCGGUGCCUCCUGCCAAAAAGCCAGAAGCUCCACCUCCUAAAGUGCCUGAGGCUCCCAAAGAAGUUGUU
rnacentral:lncRNA from 1 species